rnacentral:tRNA from 1 species
CAGGGAGACAACAAAAUGUUUAAUAUUAUUAUUUUGUCACCUUAGGUCGAUCGGUAUCUCACGUUUUUAAUUUAUUAAGAAUUUCAUUUCCUAAGUUUUUCUAGGUCACACCCAUUAUUUUUCCUGGGCCAUUAGCUCAGGUGGUUAGAGCGCACCCCUGAUAAGGGUGAGGUCCCUGGUUCAAGUCCAGGAUGGCCCAUAUCUCUAUGUUGGGGGUAUAGCUCAGUUGGUAGAGCGCCUGCUUUGCAAGCAGGAUGUCAGCGGUUCGAGUCCGCUUACCUCCACUGAUUACCACCUCUUCCAUAACCGGUAGAAAGGAAAUGUUUUGAGUUGUGAUCAAAUUCUGAAAGAAUCUAGCUUCCUAAUGAAAUCAUUAAGAUGCUGGACUCAUUGAAUUAAUUUCAUUGUUUUCAGAGAACCUUGACAACUGCAUAGAUUAUUUUUAAAGACAAUAAGCAUCUUUAAUGAUGCAGAUUUAUUAUUUGUGCGAAUGCAUUAAUAACAAUUCUAUUAAGCUGAUGCUUCAAUUUUUGAAGUUAUU